rnacentral:rRNA from 1 species
GUAGGUGGCAAGCGUUGUCCGGAAUUAUUGGGCGUAAAGCGCGCGCAGGCGGUCCUUUAAGUCUGAUGUGAAAGCCCACGGCUCAACCGUGGAGGGUCAGUGGAAACUGGGGGACUUGAGUGCAGAAGAGGAGAGUGGAAUUCCACGUGUAGCGGUGAAAUGCGUAGAGAUGUGGAGGAACACCAGUGGCGAAGGCGACUCUCUGGUCUGUAACUGACGCUGAGGCGCGAAAGCGUGGGGGGAGCGAACAGGAUUAGAUACCCUGGUAGUCCACGCCGUAAACGAUGAGUGCUAAGUGUUAGAGGGUUUCCCGCCCUUUAGUGCUGCAGCUAACGCAUUAAGCACUCCGCCUGGGAGUACGGUCGCAAGACUA